rnacentral:rRNA from 1 species
GCCGGCGACUGGCGCACGGGUGAGUAACACGUAUGCAACCUGCCCUCUUCAGGGGGACAACCUUCCGAAAGGGAGGCUAAUCCCGCGUAUAUCUUUCGGAGGCAUCUCCGGAAGAGGAAAGCUUAUGCGGAAGAGGAUGGGCAUGCGGCGCAUUAGCUUGACGGCGGGGUAACGGCCCACCGUGGCGACGAUGCGUAGGGGUUCUGAGAGGAAGGUCCCCCACACUGGUACUGAGACACGGACCAGACUCC